CUCCCACGUCCGUCCCAAUGCCGGUUGCUUUGGAAACAUAAACACAAGCUCUGUUUUCUUCAGUGCAUUCAGCUCUUAGCUUAGAAUUAGACAUUACGAUCAAUCAUCUCUUCAUAAUAGUGAUGCUAUCAGGAUGCAAACCAUCAUCAUCAGCUCUAUAAUUAAAUAUAUUUUAAAUGUUUCAUACUAACUCAGCAAUGGGCAUCUAUAAAGGAUAUGUGCAUUUAGCAAUAAUGUCAAAUAUGGAUCUCAUACAAACUUUUCCUCUGCCUAUAAAACUAUAUAGUAUAUAGAAUAAUGUGGAAGUAACUAUCUCAGCUCGUAUGCUCUAAUCUACAUAGAGCAGUGCUCUACUGCUUUGCUCAUUGGGUGGAUUGGUGACUAAGCGGAAGUGACAUCUGCAUGCCACUGAGAUAGAGGCUUGAACCGCGACUUACUUCCGGGACGGUGCCGGGGAUCUCCAGGAUGCUGAGUGGAAUAGAGGCUCCACAUGGGGCUGAGAGUCUGGUGUUAGCCGCUAUUGUGAGAUGCUUGUUUUAUGUGAUAAAAUGUUGUCAUGACGCCGGACGCCGGCGCCUGCGGAUGACGUCACUGAGCUGGGCGGGAGAUGACGGGCGGACGCGGCUGGCGGACGGCCUCAUGCACGAUCAGAGGAGGCUAUAUAGCUUUAGAUGGUUCCUGAUCACAUCACUACCCAAAGAGUCAACGGAAUAUUUAUCACUUGUGAAUAGAGCUGGAGAGAAGGCAAGAUGUUGGCAUAGCUGUGAUACUGGAAGCCUGCUAUGCUAAUAUGUUGCCAUCUUUCUUUUCUACCAGUGCCAGCAAAACACAGGAUUUUUUUUAUUUUUGUGUACUACUGAAAAUUUGAAUAGGAAUUCUGCGAUGUCUAUUGCACACAUUCUAAUUUCAGUUUUAGUUUAGAUUUUCUGCAAAUAUUAUUGAUUCAUUUUUUUUUAAUUACUUCCGAAAUUCAUGUAUCUCAAUUUUGUAAAUGCAAUAAAGUAUCAAACUUUUUUCCCCAAGUCCUGUUCAUGAAUUUGCUAUAUGCAUUGCUUGACUGAUGCAGUUAUUGGAUUAGAUUUAUGGUAUAAUUAGUCAUGGUGCCAACCAAUAACUCACAAAGCAUGGUGGUCGGUCUAGUGAGCACAGAUCGGCAAACCAUUUGUAAAUGUAUGUUUGAUAGCACAGCAGACCUUGUAGAUAAUGUGAUGGAUGUUGUACUAUUUAUGCUGUACUGAAAAUACCACAUUUUUGGAAAGAUUAUAGUUUUUACUUAAUUGGUUUGAAGGUAGUCAGCAGGCUGCUGUUUUGCAUUCCCAGCAAAGUACAAUAGAUGAUUCCUAGUCGUGACUCGUGUCCUGUAUGUAUGCCCCGUGGCUGCACUGUCAGGGACACUGUACGCUCAGAUUCAGUUGCCUGGAGGAGCACACAAAUUACAUAUUUAAUGCCUUAUUAAACUGCGCAGCGGCUGCAUUGCACCUGCGCGACCUUACACAUUGCAGCCACAUCUCGGAAAGAUUCAGCCGCAGUGUGAUUGACAGUGGUGGGCAUUUGCAAGGCAGCGACGAGGCAUUGGGGAGGCAUGGCAGGUUGAACAGGGGCAUUCCAGGAGCGUUUUCAGGGUGGUUGCGUAUGACACUCUAAAACUUGGUGGGGGGCCACCUGACACGCUGCCAGGGCCAACCUUACUUCAAUGUGUCCGCAACUUAAUUGUGGACGCAUCGUGAGGUGGCGCUACACAUGCUGGGAGGCCUUGCCCUGUGCUGGGUGGCCCCCAGCAUGUGAGGAUAUGGACGCAGAUCUGGCUGCGUAUGCUACUAUCUGCGUCCAUCUCUGAAUAAGGUCUAUAGUAAAUUAGAACCCAAACAACAUAUUGGGUGAGAUUCAAAUGACAUAUCACGCCCAAUUUCCUUCUAAAAUGAUCUCCGUUAUUGCGCAUAUUGCGCCCAUAGUGAUCAGAUUUAGCUGUGUAAAGGGUUGGGUGCCUCCAUACUACGGAGGUAGCGAGCUGAAAUAAUGAUACCACGCCCCUGAGGGCAGAAACAGAAUGGGUGGGAAAAGGGGAGAAAAGAAUUGAAUCUCCCUCUUUUUUGUCUCCUUGGAAAAUCCCCAUGACUUUAUAAUAAGUAAAGCCAAUAACAAAAGUCACCUCCUAAUUAAUUUGCAUAGCUUGUUAAUGUUUUUGUUAGAAAGUACAUUAAUAUAUUAUACAAUGUGGUAAAGCGUAUUAUUAUUGUAAUAAAUACAAAGAAA